rnacentral:lncRNA from 1 species
CGAGUGAAUGGAUUUCACCAUUACUGACAGCAGUCAGCUGGGAAAUGUCUCAUGGCCUUGCUUAUAUGGCUGAGGAUAAGGGACAGUGAGCACCCAGGAGAGCACCUCAGGAUGGGUGUCCUGGCAGUGGGCAACCCCCACCUGAGCGAGGAGUCAGAACUAGUCCUAUUUCAAACACCACAGCCCAAAGAAACAAACAGCUCUUUCUUAUUUCCUCCCAGUUCCACAAGCAAGGUUUGGGUUUUGUAUGUCAGUUUCAGUUGAA